rnacentral:rRNA from 1 species
UACAGAGGGGGCAAGCGUUGUUCGGAAUUACUGGGCGGAAAGGGCGCGUAGGCGGCCUUCUAAGUCGGACGUGAAAUCCCUCGGCUCAACCGAGGACGUGCAUCCGAAACUGCAGUGCUCGAGUAUGGAAGAGGGUCGCGGAAUUCUCGGUGUAGAGGUGAAAUUCGUAGAUAUCGGGAGGAACACCAGUGGCGAAGGCGGCGACCUGGGCCAAUACUGACGCUGAGGUGCGAAAGCGUGGGGAGCAAACAGG